UACGUAGGGUGCAAGCGUUGUCCGGAAUUAUUGGGCGUAAAGAGCUCGUAGGCGGUUCGUCGCGUCGGCUGUGAAAUCCCGGAGCUCAACUCCGGGUCUGCAGUCGAUACGGGCGGACUUGAGUUCGGCAGGGGAGACUGGAAUUCCCGGUGUAGUGGUGAAAUGCGUAGAGAUCGGGAGGAACACCAGUGGCGAAGGCGGCUCGCUGGGCCGGACCUGACGCUGAGGCGCGAAGGCGUGGGGAGCGAACGGG
rnacentral:rRNA from 1 species